rnacentral:rRNA from 1 species
UGGUGGAGUGAUUUGUCUGGUCAAUUCCGUCAACGAACGAGACCCCUGCCUGCUAAAUGGCGUGCCGAGUGAAUUUUCACUGGGUGAUGCUUCUCAGAGGGACAUGCAUUCUGUCAGAUGCAGGAAGAUGGGGGCAACAACA